GAUCAUGGCUCAGGAUGAACGCUAGCUACGGGCUUAACACAUGCAAGUCGAGGGGCAGCAUGGUCUUAGCUUGCUAAGGCCGAUGGCGACCGGCGCACGGGUGAGUAACACGUAUCCAACCUGCCGUCUACUCUUGGACAGCCUUCUGAAGGAAGAUUAUACAGAUGGCAUCAUGAGUCCGCAUGUUCACAUGNUUAAGUAAUUCGUGACGA
rnacentral:rRNA from 1 species